UUUACAUCGCUCUGUGAAGUAUAGGUAAGUCAGAUAGGAUUUGCAAAGGCAGGAAGCACCGCAUCAACCCACCGCUAUGCUUUCCCAUAGCUUCCAGUAAUCUGUUUCCGUCAAGUUUGCAUGCCUGCAGACCUCAUACGCAAGCUUGCGCAGAUGCGGAUUUGCUGCAGGCUUGCUAAGAAGAUCCUGAAUACCAAAGGUGAAAUUUGCAAAGUUCAGGUAACAAGCAAGACCGUGGCCAACUGAUCAAUGAGCGAGGGUCCACCUGAAGUAGCUCAGGCGCAGUAUGUGAUACAUCAUUGCCACUAGAUGCGGCACCUAAGAUGCCAAUUAAGAUGUUUGCCUGCGUUGAUACUUCCGCGCUAGAAAGGGCCAUCACAGGCAUUUUUAGAGGAAGGGCUACAUUGACCUGAUCGAAUUAAUUUUGACGAAAUGUAAUCCCUAAGACAAAGCCUUAAAAGGAAGUUGUCACGGCAACUGUAAUUCCAUGUAAUUCCAAAUCUUAAGCUUUUGUGCAAAUGAUAGGUGUGUUCUAUACAGGACGCAGUGGACAUAUAGCAGUGAAGAUUGGGAAAUGUAAACGACAUGCUGACUUAAAGAAACUGUACACGACGUCCCACGGGCCCUGGAGCGAUUCAUUUUUACACACGCUGUUAAUCUUUACACACACAAAUCCCGUAUAUAAGAAUUCGUAUUCCACGAAGGUAUGGUAUCUCCUGCUGUAUGCACCUCCUGCUCUGUGCAUAUCCAUGUAGGGCCAUUGGCACAUGGCCAUGCGUAUCGCUAUGGGCCAACACGCAUGCUUACGGCCUUAUGCUAUACCGUUUCGGAUUUACAUAUAACACCAGGAACAGCGUCUAGCAAGGAAAACACGUUUUGGAUAAAACCGCUUGCCAUGCCUGCAGUACCCAUACCGCAUAGACCCCGUACAAAAUAAAAAUCCCGCAUAACAGCAUUUGGCAGAGUGGAGGCCCCCCAAGCACCUUAAAGUGCACCAACUACGGUUUAUGUCGAGCUAAUGACAUGGCUAUUUAAGCUGACAUAGAUCAUGGUAGAAAUCCCAACUAGCCUGAACGUCCCGAGCAAAGGUUGCAACAGCUCAGUAGUUCCAUAGGGCUCUUAGGCGGCGUGUCACCCUAACCGACCAGACUGACGUCCCACCUUAGACAUAAGCAUCUCAAAACCUGAUACGAGUGGCUUUCUAUGCUUCAGUUGCGCGGUCGUCCAACCAGAUACACUUCAUUCCUCGGCCUGAUCUCCAGACACAGAGGAUAGUAAUCCGGGCAAGUUCCGGAAUAGCUUCUCCUCCAGCUUUAGCGUCUUCACCU
rnacentral:lncRNA from 1 species